ACUGCUCAGUAACACGUGGACAAUCUGCCCUUAGGCUGGGUAUAAACCCGGGAAACUGGGUAUAAUACCCGAUAGGUCUCGAUUGCUGGAAUGCAUCGAGAUUUAAAGCUCCGGCGCCUAAGGAUGGGUCUGCGGCCUAUCAGGUAGUAGUGGGUGUAGCGUACCUACUAGCCUACGACGGGUACGGGUUGUGAGAGCAAGAGCCCGGAGAUGGAUUCUGAGACACGAAUCCAGGCCCUACGGGGUGCAGCAGGCGCGAAAACUUUACAAUGCUGGCAACAGCGAUAAGGGAACCUCGAGUGCCAGGUUACAAAUCUGGCUGUCGAGAUGCCUAAAAAGCAUUUCAUAGCAAGGGCCGGGCAAGACCGGUGCCAGCCGCCGCGGUAACACCGGCGGCUCGAGUGGUAACCGUUAUUAUUGGGUCUAAAGGGUCUGUAGCCGGCCGGAUAAGUCUCUUGAGAAAUCUGGCAGCUUAACUGUCAGGCUUUCAGGAGAUACUGUCUGGCUCGAGGCCGGGAGAGGUGAGAGGUACUUCAGGGGUAGGGGUGAAAUCUUGUAAUCCUUGAAGGACCACCAGUGGCGAAGGCGUCUCACCAGAACGGACCUGACGGCAAGGGACGAAAGCUAGGGGCACGAACCGGAUUAGAUACCCGGGUAGUCCUAGCCGUAAACGAUACUCGCUAGGUGUCGGCCACGGUGCGACCGUUGUCGGUGCCGUAGGGAAGCCGUGAAGCGAGCCACCUGGGAAGUACGGCCGCAAGGCUGAAACUUAAAGGAAUUGGCGGGGGAGCAC
rnacentral:rRNA from 1 species